rnacentral:rRNA from 1 species
GAGGGAAACCGAGUCUUAACCGGGCGUUAAGUUGCAGGGUAUAGACCCGAAACCCGGUGAUCUAGCCAUGGGCAGGUUGAAGGUUGGGUAACACUAACUGGAGGACCGAACCGACUAAUGUUGAAAAAUUAGCGGAUGACCUGUGGCUGGGGGUGAAAGGCCAAUCAAACCGGGAGAUAGCUGGUUCUCCCCGAAAGCUAUUUAGGUAGCGCCUCGUGAAUUCAUCUCCGGGGGUAGAGCACUGUUUCGGCUAGGGGGCCAUCCCGGCUUACCAACCCGAUGCAAACUGCGAAUACCGGAGAAUGUUAUCACGGGAGACACACGGCGGGUGCUAACGUCCGUCGUGAAGAGGGAAACAACCCAGACCGCCAGCUAAGGUCCCAAAGUCAUGGUUAAGUGGGAAACGAUGUGGGAAGGCCCAGACAGCCAGGAUGUUGGCUUAGAAGCAGCCAUCAUUUAAAGAAAGCGUAAUAGCUCACUGGUCGAGUCGGCCUGCGCGGAAGAUGUAACGGGGCUAAACCAUGCACCGAAGCUGCGGCAGCGACACUGUGUGUUGUUGGGUAGGGGAGCGUUCUGUAAGCCUGCGAAGGUGGCCUGUGAGGGUUGCUGGAGGUAUCAGAAGUGCGAAUGCUGACAUAAGUAACGAUAAAGCGGGUGAAAAGCCCGCUCGCCGGAAGACCAAGGGUUCCUGUCCAACGUUAAUCGGGGCAGGGUGAGUCGACCCCUAAGGCGAGGCCGAAAGGCGUAGUCGAUGGGAAACGGGUUAAUAUUCCCGUACUUGGUGUUACUGCGAAGGGGGGACGGAGAAGGCUAUGUUGGCCGGGCGACGGUUGUCCCGGUUUAAGCGUGUAGGCUGGUUUUCCAGGCAAAUCCGGAAAAUCAAGGCUGAGGCGUGAUGACGAGGCACUACGGUGCUGAAGCAACAAAUGCCCUGCUUCCAGGAAAAGCCUCUAAGCAUCAGGUAACAUCAAAUCGUACCCCAAACCGACACAGGUGGUCAGGUAGAGAAUACCAAGGCGCUUGAGAGAACUCGGGUGAAGGAACUAGGCAAAAUGGUGCCGUAACUUCGGGAGAAGGCACGCUGACACGUAGGUGAAGUGAUUUACUCAUGGAGCUGAAGUCAGUCGAAGAUACCAGCUGGCUGCAACUGUUUAUUAAAAACACAGCACUGUGCAAACACGAAAGUGGACGUAUACGGUGUGACGCCUGCCCGGUGCCGGAAGGUUAAUUGAUGGGGUCAGCGCAAGCGAAGCUCCUGAUCGAAGCCCCGGUAAACGGCGGCCGUAACUAUAACGGUCCUAAGGUAGCGAAAUUCCUUGUCGGGUAAGUUCCGACCUGCACGAAUGGCGUAAUGAUGGCCAGGCUGUCUCCACCCGAGACUCAGUGAAAUUGAACUCGCUGUGAAGAUGCAGUGUACCCGCGGCAAGACGGAAAGACCCCGUGAACCUUUACUAUAGCUUGACACUGAACAUUGAGCCUUGAUGUGUAGGAUAGGUGGGAGGCUUUGAAGUGUGGACGCCAGUCUGCAUGGAGCCGACCUUGAAAUACCACCCUUUAAUGUUUGAUGUUCUAACGUGGACCCGUUACCCGGGUUGCGGACAGUGUCUGGUGGGUAGUUUGACUGGGGCGGUCUCCUCCUAAAGAGUAACGGAGGAGCACGAAGGUUGGCUAAUCCUGGUCGGACAUCAGGAGGUUAGUGCAAUGGCAUAAGCCAGCUUGACUGCGAGCGUGACGGCGCGAGCAGGUGCGAAAGCAGGUCAUAGUGAUCCGGUGGUUCUGAAUGGAAGGGCCAUCGCUCAACGGAUAAAAGGUACUCCGGGGAUAACAGGCUGAUACCGCCCAAGAGUUCAUAUCGACGGCGGUGUUUGGCACCUCGAUGUCGGCUCAUCACAUCCUGGGGCUGAAGUAGGUCCCAAGGGUAUGGCUGUUCGCCAUUUAAAGUGGUACGCGAGCUGGGUUUAGAACGUCGUGAGACAGUUCGGUCCCUAUCUGCCGUGGGCGCUGGAGAACUGAGGGGGGCUGCUCCUAGUACGAGAGGACCGGAGUGGACGCAUCACUGGUGUUCGGGUUGUCAUGCCAAUGGCACUGCCCGGUAGCUAAAUGCGGAAGAGAUAAGUGCUGAAAGCAUCUAAGCACGAAACUUGCCCCGAG